GUGGGGAAUAUUGCGCAAUGGGCGAAAGCCUGACGCAGCCAUGCCGCGUGGAUGAUGAAGGUCUUAGGAUUGUAAAAUCCUUUCACCGGUGAAGAUAAUGACUGUAGCCGGAGAAGAAGCUCCGGCUAACUUCGUGCCAGCAGCCGCGGUAAUACGAAGGGGGCUAGCGUUGCUCGGAAUUACUGGGCGUAAAGGGCGCGUAGGCGGACAGCUUAGUCAGAGGUGAAAGCCCAGGGCUCAACCUUGGAAUUGCCUUUGAUACUGGCUGUCUUGAGUUUGGGAGAGGUGAGUGGAACUCCGAGUGUAGAGGUGAAAUUCGUAGAUAUUCGGAAGAACACCAGUGGCGAAGGCGACUCACUGGCCCAAUACUGACGCUGAGGCGCGAAAGCGUGGGGAGCAAACAGGAUUAGAUACCCUAGUAGUCC
rnacentral:rRNA from 1 species